GCGAGCGUGGCGGAAUCGGCAGACGCGCCAGGCUUAGGACCUGGUGUCCGUUAAGGACGUGGAGGUUCGACUCCUCUCGCUCGCA
rnacentral:tRNA from 1 species